rnacentral:rRNA from 1 species
GCCACGCCCGCUCAGAAACUACAAAUGAAUUGGACGGGGCCCGCACAAGCGGUGGAGUAUGUGGUUUAAUUCGAUGCAACGCGAAGAACCUUACCUGGUCUUGACAUCCCGGAGACCCUUAGGAAACUAGGGGGUGCUUCCAUCUGGAAGAAUCUGGAGACAGGUGCUGCAUGGCUGUCGUCAGCUCGUGUCGUGAGAUGUUGGGUUAAGUCCCGUAACGAGCGCAACCCUUGUCCUUAGUUACCAGCACGUUAUGGUGGGCACUCUAAGGAGACUGCCGGUGACAAACCGGAGGAAGGUGGGGAUGACGUCAAGUCACCAUGGCCCUUACGGCCUGGGCUACACACGUGCUACAAUGGUCGGUACAAAGGGUUGCCAAGCCGCGAGGUGGAGCUAAUCCCAUAAAACCGAUCGUAGUCCGGAUCGCAGUCUGCAACUCGACUGCGUGAAGUCGGAAUCGCUAGUAAUCGUGAAUCAGAAUGUCACGGUGAAUACGUUCCCGGGCCUU